CGCUCAUCCUGUAAUGCAUUGCUCUGCUCACCUGUUAGUUAGAGAAAGAUGCAUGGCCUCCACGGCACAAAAAGAUGGAUGAUCAGUAAAAAUGCACUAGCCUCGGCUACCACGGAGGUGACCCAAACCUGCCUAGUGAAGGGAAGCUUAAACACACACUUCCUUUUGCAGUGAAGGAAAGGUCAUGAUCGGCAUUGCAACAGCCACUUAGUAUGUCACUGUUAACUUAUCCGUCAUCAGACAGGAUCGUCAGACUGGCAGGUGAGGAGACUUGUAAAGACAGACAGCAGCAGAAGUAGGAUUGGAUGGCCAGUGGUGCAGAGGGGUGUCGUCUAAGAAGCUACAUCCUCUUUUUGUGGCUGACUACACACAGCAUCAGUGUGAAGAAUGAGAGACGUGCUGUAAGUUGUAUUGUGUCUGUAAUUAAUAAUAAUGUCCCCUGCCACUUUAGCCAUUAUACAAGCUCAUCCUCUGCUGCACUCUUUCUUUUCCCUAAUCUUUCUACUCUCCCUCUUUCUCCUCGGUUUUGUGUUUAGAAGAACAUUGGACUAAGAGAUUAGUAUGUUGAAAAAAAGGCAAACAAAAAAUCAUUUUAUCUGACUGUUUAUCCGGUCGGAGAGUGUGAGCUUUGCCCACAUUAGGCUGUUUUGAAUUGCGAUUUCACCCUUCUCCUGGACACAGAAGACAUUUAUUAUUCUGCUAAACUCACUGUACUCAGGUUGAAAGCAAAUCCAUAGCUUUUGUGAUUCUGCUAAGUACAGAUUUCUGUCAGUGGAGCUGUAU
rnacentral:lncRNA from 12 species